CAUUUUUUGGAUGUUUACGGCCAUAAAAUUGGAAAUGCGUGCGAGUCCCAAAUUUUCAUGUGUUAUAGCCCACGCCUUCUGCCGUGACCCCGGGCCCCCAGACCUGAAUCGUCUAAACUUUUUCUUGGACAUCCAAUACGGCCAAAAGAUCCAUAGUCAUUGCCCCGCCAUGAACAAAUUACAUUUUUUGGAUGUUUACGGCCAUAAAAUUGGACAUCCGCG
rnacentral:lncRNA from 1 species